UUUUUUUUUUUCAAAGACAGAGGAAUGUUUAAUAAUAAUAAUAAUACUGAUUUAUUUUUUCUAAAGACAAUAAUUAAACAACAAUUUUAUUUUAAUAUUAUAUAGGUAUAAUUACAUUAAUAUAGUCAAUGAAAAUACAAUAUAUUUUAUAAAUACAUUUAAAUUUCAAGUUUAUAUUAUAAUAAUAUACUUAAACAUAAUAAUUAAUAGAAGUACUAUUUUUUUAUUAUGUUUUUUUUUUUAUUACAAAAAGACUAUGAUUAAAAUUAAUUAGUGAUGUUCAACAAAUUAGUUGAUAUAUUAUUUGAAUCGUAAUAUGAUUUUUUUUUUUUUUUAUUACUAUGCGACUAUUAUAUGUUACUUUGCAAAUUAUUUGUAUUCGUCCUAUUAAAAUAUUUUAUGGUAUAGGAAACGAUAUUAUUGUUAUAAGAUCUGAUUGAUAUUUAAUAUCAUCGUUUGUGUGUAGGUACUGCACUCUGAGGAAAUACAGGUAGACAUAAUGUCAUCAUGUUUGUUUUGAGAUCAAACAUAAUAUUAUUAUUAUUUUUUUAGUAUUUUUAAACAUGUGUGCUAUUAAUAGUAAUAAUAAUUAUAAUAGUAAUAAUAUUCUAAGAUUGAUUUUAUAAUAAUUUUAUAUAUAUAUAUAUAUAUAAUAGUUUUUUUUUUU